UACGUAGGGUGCAAGCGUUGUCCGGAAUUAUUGGGCGUAAAGAGCUCGUAGGCGGUUUGUCGCGUCUGCUGUGAAAACCCGAGGCUCAACCUCGGGCCUGCAGUGGGUACGGGCAGACUAGAGUGCGGUAGGGGAGAGUGGAAUUCCUGGUGUAGCGGUGGAAUGCGCAGAUAUCAGGAGGAACACCGAUGGCGAAGGCAGAUCUCUGGGCCGUAACUGACGCUGAGGAGCGAAAGCAUGGGGAGCGAACAGG
rnacentral:rRNA from 1 species